rnacentral:tRNA from 1 species
GGAGAUGUAGCUUCAUUGUUAGAAAGCUUGUCUGGCACUCAGCAGACCCUGUUAAAAUCAGGCAACUCCG